GCCCCCGUAGCUCAGAGGAUAGAGCACCGGCCUCCGGAGCCGGGUGCGCAGGUUCGAGUCCUGCCGGGGGUA
rnacentral:tRNA from 2 species